AAAUCAGAUCAAAAAAGGGAACAAAUGGGAAAGAAAAAAAAAGCAAUCAAACAAACAACAGAAAGAGUGAGAAUGCCGGGCUGGGAUCCCCCCUCGGUCCCCACGGGCCUCCCGGGGUCAGACGCUCUCCAUCACAAGAUCCCAGAACUGGCCUGAAUCACCAAAGAGCCCCCCGGCCUUCAGAAGGGACCCGCGUCUAAUCUUGUUGUUGCCGUGUACGUGCUCUCCUGGUUCUGCUCACUUCACUCAGGAUCACUUCAUGCCAGUCGAGAGAAUUUUUAUAGUUUUGUAGGGACAAUGUUUUGUUGCAAAUGUUCUCACUGUGCUGUUAAACGGCUUUGUUUUGAAUGAAUCCUGUCCUCCAGCAGGACAAAGGCCAUGGAAGGCAUGGGGCCCCGUUUCUAGGGGGGCCGGUCCCCUGUGUCCCGGCGCUGCCGAAGCUUUGAGCUCUCCGGGCCAGUUUGGCCCUGGCGGCCUCCCCCAUAAUGUUCUUUGGAUUUGGCCCCAGGCCCCCACCUGAAGGUGAUCCUGGGAGAUGCGGCCUAGGUGUCUGCCGCAGGCUUCUUUCAGCUCUGAGAUCCCCAACUCCUGGCUUGGUCCCACACACUAUCCUGGUCUCCCCCUGAGCUGCCCUGACCCUCUAGCAGGGCUUCCUCCCUGGCCCAUCGCCGCAGCCUGGGGACGUCAGCGCUUCCUCCACCUCUGCAGCCUCUGCAUGAUGCUCCAGGAGAAAUGGGCAAAAUCGGGCGCAUCCCCUCUGGCUCCUUGCUCUCUGGGGGCCCGGAGGCCACUGAAUUGGCCACUGAUUGAGCCCUCAGGCCGGCCUCCUGUGGAGAACUGACUCUGGACGGGGGAGCCCUGUUCUGGAGCCACUUAUCCCAGUAAGGAAGAGCCCUGGGCUGGGAGGGGCAGGACCGGGCUGGCUAUCUGCCUCUCGGAGCCUGGAGAGAGGACUGAGGGGAGAGGUGCUGGGUGAGAUCAUGAGGAAGCCGGAAAUUCCUCCUGGGCAGCUGAGAGGGGGAGAUGGGAGCAGGAGAUAGCGGUCUAGACAGUGUCUGACUCAGCCCCCUCGGCCUCCCAGCCCGGAAGGUCUCCGCGCUGCCUGAGGGAGGUGGUGACCUGGACAAGCCCCCACACUGCGGGCUCCCGAGCUGGGCGUUCUGGCAGAGAGCGGGGGGACAGACGCCCCUCGGUGCCGUUGGGAACUUGCUCCCGGUCUUCUCACAGGCCCCAGGCUGCUGACAAAACCAGGACCACCGGGUCUGGGGCCUGCCUCCUGUCGUGUGCCCCUAGGCAAGGCCUGGAGGAGGCUGGAGGACGACCGAAAGCAGCCAAGGCAGCUCAGGGGAGAAAGGCCCCCAGUGGCUUAACACCCAAGAACUCAAAGGCAAAGGUGCGCAAAUUAAGUGAGAAGGAGCAAAACUUUACUAGUUGAAGGCCUAACGAUCCCCUUUCAGACCUAAACAAAUAAGUCACAGAAAGGGGUUAAAGACCACAGGAAAGUCCGAUGUGAUGGGUCUGGCAGUUAACAAGUCGGUACAGAAAGAAAUCUAGAACUCCGGGACUGAAGGAAACCUCCCAGCCAUGUCCAUCUGUCCCCAGAGCCCCGCUGAGAGAGCCUCCACCCAGAGAGAUGGGGGCUGUCCUGUAGCCGUCCACUUAAGUGUCCCUGAAGGCCUGGCCCGGGCACUGCCAGCCCCUGGGCACCGGCUCUCACUCUGCCCAGGAGAUUCAACAGCAGAUAGAUCAGCAACGCAAAAUGCUUCCUGGAGAGACGGGGAGCACAGAGUGUGGGAAUCCAACAAGGCAGCCUGGAGGGCAGCAGGGAUUCUAAGAAAGGGGAGGGAGGGAAGGAGGCGCAGCCAGAGACAGAGGAAGCCCAUGGGGCCCGGGCAACAUCCAAGGCAUCAGUUUGUCUGGGUGGGAAAGGCAAAGGGCAGCCGGGUCACAGAGAAUGCGGGGAGUGUGGGGGAACACGGCCGGACCUGGCUCUGGGGCAGGAUGGGUUGUCUGGGGUGGGGGGCCUGGCCACGGGGGCCAGAGUCAUCCCUCAUCCUGCAGAUCUCGCUCAGGCGGCUCCAUCACUUCCCAGCAGGGGGCGGCUAUGACUUCUAGGCUCCAUGUUGCAGAAGGGAGUUCCCUAAUUUCCAGGAGACACACCUUCCUCUCCGCUUCCAGCCCAAGCUCGGUCUCCCCCAGAGCACUCUACAACCUGACCUCACCCAUCUUCAUCUAGGAUCAGAGUCUGCUGUUCCUUUCCAUGGAUGGAGUUUCUUACCCCAGUGUUAAAGUUAUACGAUGACCAAUUCUGACAGACUGGCUCCUUCAACAACGAGAUGACUCAGAGCAGUUCCGAUGGUCUUGUGAUGAAGAGAGGCAUCUGUACCUAGAGAGAGGACAGUGGGAACCCAGUGUGGUUCACAACAUAGUA